rnacentral:rRNA from 1 species
UACGUAGGGGGCUAGCGUUGUCCGGAAUCAUUGGGCGUAAAGCGCGUGUAGGCGGUCCGGUAAGUCCGCUGUGAAAGUCGGGGCUCAACCCUCGGAUGCCGGUGGAUACUGUCGGGCUUGAGUACGGAAGAGGCGAGUGGAAUUCCUGGUGUAGCGGUGAAAUGCGCAGAUAUCAGGAGGAACACCAAUUGCGAAGGCAGC